rnacentral:rRNA from 1 species
UACAGAGGGUGCAAGCGUUAAUCGGAAUUACUGGGCGUAAAGGGCGCGUAGGCGGCCUGCUAAGUCGAACGUGAAAUCCCCGGGCUCAACCCUGGGAUGCCGGUCGAUACUGCCGGACUAGAGUUCGGAAGAGGCGAGUGGAAUUCCCGGUGUAGCGGUGAAAUGCGCAGAUAUCGGGAGGAACACCAAUGGCGAAGGCAGCUCGCUGGGACGUUACUGACGCUGAGACGCGAAAGCGUGGGGAGCAAACAGGG